UGUGGUUCAUGACUGGGGUGAAGUCGUAACAAGGUAGCGCUAGGGGAACCUGGCGCUGGAUCACCUCCUUA
rnacentral:rRNA from 7 species